rnacentral:lncRNA from 1 species
CACAUGGCCGAUCUCACACUUCGGAAACGAUAAGUAUACAUUACUUUAUUUUAUUCAAGUGUUGAGUUCAGUUCAUUCAAUUCAGUUCAGUCAGUUCUAUCCGUUAAAUUCAGUUCACUUCAUUUCAUAAAUUAACUGUCAUAUGUCUUAUCUGAUUCAUGCCCUAAGUUAAGUCCAUACAGAUUAAUCAAUACUGAAUUAUUGACAAGAAACGAAAAGCAUUAUGCAGAAGUCAUGACAUAGAAAGCUGAAAUUUCAUCAGUAGGUAUCGAUCUAUUCAUUCAUAUUGACAAACACAUUGAGCAAAAACAGAAAU